rnacentral:piRNA from 1 species
UAAACACCACAAAGAGAUCUUCAGUUG